CUAUCACAAUAAAUAUCUAUCAUUUUAUAUACAUAUAUAUAUAUAUACAUACCUAUAUACAUUAUAUAUAUAAAAUUUUGACUUGGGUUUGCUUGUAAACUGGCUUUCUGGGGGAAAAGGCAGCCCCAAUUUGUAGCAUUUGCUGAAUUCCGUGGUAUCCAUGGAGUUGGAUUAUGUGUGUUAUGUUUCGCAGCUGUGUGUUCAAUGACAUGUUGGUAGCCUGAAAUUGGUCAUGGUUAGCAUAUAACAUAUAUUUGCUUAAUGAAUGAAUUAAUUUUAAUAGGCUAAGACAAUUUGAAUAAAAGUAUUCCCUUCCAACUGGAAGGAAACAAACACAUUCAAUACAGCAAAUGGCACAUGACCAUAAAAUCAAGUAGAUUUUGGACUUAUGAAACACAACGGGAAGGAGACUGCUGGGAUAGAGAUUUCAAGUGGAAGAUACAAACUCUCUAGAAGAAACCAAGUGGGAAAACCUGCCCAUUUUCAAGAGGACAUGGCUGCUGUAGAUGUCAGAGUCCCCACCAGCAAAAUGGCAAAGGCACAUUGGUUCCUUGGAAUGGGAAGAUUCCUGCUCUGUGGAUCUGUCGACUUGGCAAAUAACAUUAAGGAGGGGACUUUACUGAAAUUUUUGUUUAAAGAACAAAAAUGAACAAAACAUUCCACAUAUUGCAAAGUAUCUUUUAAAAGACUUUAGUGAGAUGUGACUCCUAGGUUACUCAAUAAAGGUUUAAGUAUGUUUUCA
rnacentral:lncRNA from 12 species